GGACUACCAGGGUAUCUAAUCCUGUUUGCUCCCCACGCUUUCGCUGCUCAGUGUCAGUUACCUUCCAGGUCGCCGCCUUCGCCUCUGGUGUUCCUCCCGAUAUCUACGAAUUUCACCUCUACACCGGGAAUUCCGCGACCCUCUCCGGCACUCAAGUCUCCCAGUUUCGCGCGCCCUUUCCAGGUUGAGCCUGGAGCUUUCACACGCGACUUAAAAGACCACCUACCAGCGCUUUACGCCCAAUAAUUCCGAACAACGCUCGCACCCUCUGUAUUACCGCGGCUGCUGGCAC
rnacentral:rRNA from 1 species